GAACGCUGGCGGCGUGCCUAACACAUGCAAGUCGAGCGGGAAAGUUCCCUUCGGGGAGCGAGUACAGCGGCGCACGGGUGAGUAACACGUAGGUAACCUACCCUGGAGUCUGGGAUAACCUGCCGAAAGGCGGGCUAAUACCGGAUAAGACCACGAGGGCUGCGGCCCUUGGGGAAAAAGAUGGCCUCUGCUUGCAAGCUAUCACUCUGGGAUGGGCCUGCGCGCCAUUAGCUAGUUGGUGAGGUAACGGCUCACCAAGGCAGAGAUGGCUAGCUGGUCUGAGAGGAUGGCCAGCCACACUGGGACUGAGACACGGCCCAGACUCCUACGGGAGGCAGCAGUGGGGAAUAUUGCGCAAUGGGCGAAAGCCUGACGCAGCGACGCCGCGUGGGUGAUGAAGGCCUUCGGGUCGUAAAGCCCUGUCAAGAGGGACGAAACCUCGUCGACCUAACACGUCGGCGACCUGACGGUACCUCUGAAGGAAGCACCGGCUAACUCCGUGCCAGCAGCCGCGGUAA
rnacentral:rRNA from 1 species